AGUUGCUCUAUGCAAGCAGCAGAACAACUCGAAGCAGCGGAAAAACUACUGGCAGCGGAACAACGACAACGGUGGUGAACUCGACUCCGCAGGGACUGUGGCUGGAACGCUUAUCCUAGCUCGCGAACACAGGAACAACACCAAACAAGCAAGCACUCCAGGCACGACCUGCAAGCUGGCAUGACACGCCAGGUCAGUACAUUGAAUGUACUUGCAAGCUCACAAUUAACCAGAAGCAUUCAAGACAAACAACAGCAUGGCAAUUACAGGUUAAGCAGGAAUUGUCAUGAGGUCAUCAUGGCACGAACAACAUGAACAUAAUACUGCUAGAACAAUAUGAGCAUGGCAUAUACAUAUAAAUCUGACGAUACUAGCAUGCAACAUGAUGACACUACAUGCACCAUCUAUUCUGCUCGGGUACCCAUCACAUGCAUCACUUACCAACCUCGGACAUCACACGAUUAUCUCAGGAUCAAAUCAAGCUUGGUAUAAACAAUACCGUAGUAAUCAUUAAAUGACCACAAGGAGCUUGAUCUUUACCCAUGAUUCUCGCACAACAUCACGAAUAUCCAACAACUCGGUAUCCUCGAUAUCACGGUGAUCAUUCCGGCGAUCAUAACCAUGACCAACACUUGGUCUCAAACGGUGAUCUUUCCGGCGAUCACAACCAACUUGUCUCCUCAUCAAACUGGGGUUGUUAUUAAUCAAGUUAUUAUUAUUAAUACUGUUGACUCACGGUGGGACCGACACGAACUGGGCCCUUAUCCGCGGGCGCGGCUAUCGAUAGAUUUAAUAUACACUCUGCAGAUGUUAGUACACUGUACCCACACCACGGAACCCAUGGCCUCGCACUCCCAUUCGGGUGGACCAACGGCGUUCCAACAAAACCGAUCUACUGCCAUGACACUCUCCCGGCCACUCCGACCCACUCCCAACUGGGCUAGUCCUGGGUGGCCCCGUGUCUACCAAAGACACAACGACCACCGUCGUGGCCAAACGUCCCUCACGGGGACCGGAUCCAUAAAAAUAACAACAACGGGCACACAAGGUUAUGUCUGCUUACCUAACCAGGGUACGCACGCCCAUAACCUUCCCUAGUUGGAGGCACUGGCGAGAGGCACGACAAUAGACCCAGUUAGGACCUCCCCAUAAGGUAAGCGUGGUUGCACUGGUCAGUUUUGAUAUGGUGGCAGCAUGACUCAGCCAACAGUUGUUCAAGUUCAAUUUAAUCCGGUUAAACUUGAAUGCAAUAUGCUUAGCCAUGAUAAAAUAACAUGAUGCAUAUACAAAGCAUGAGCAUGAUAUCAACAUAAGCACGGGAUGCAACAUAACUAUCCAUCAUAUGAAAUAAUCUCAAACUGAACAUGGCAUAAUGACGAGCAUAAAUAUUACAAGUGCAACACUACUCAUGGUAUAACAUGACCACUAGCAUCAACCAUAAAUACCAUGCAAGAACUCAUCAAUAACAUUACCGAGUAACACUUAACCAACUAACAACAAAGGAAACAACGCAUAUUAACAAUACUCGAUAACCGACGUUAGUCAUGCACCGAAGAACAUGACCAACCCAACAUGUACUACUAUCAAGCAUGGCAAUAUGAAAGUAAUACUAGCAACUAGCAAGGCAUUCUAACCAGGUGCAUACCAACAUAGCAAGCAAGUAAGCACUAACCCAGAAGCAUUACCGAAACAACGAUAACCAUAUUUUAAACAAGCAAUCAUUUAAUAAAUAUUCAAGUUGAAAACCAUGGCUACUGCAUGAAUAUCAUGCAAGUGGGUAUUGUGGCUUGCCUGGGGGUGAAGAAGGCAUCGGGGAGCAGUGCGGUGAAGUCGCGGAAAGAUUUGCUGGAAACAGUUCUCUCUCGGAGGGGCUGUUUACGGGCAAGGGAAAAAAGGUCAUUUUCACAGUGUCAAACCAUAGUGAAAAUGAAACCAACAGAACGGGCUCGACGAGACGAAGAAGUGGGCUUUGGAAUCACCUCAUUUGGAGUCUCGAGCAAAAAGAUAUAAGCGUUUGAAAUCCAGGGACCAAUCUGUAAGAUAAACUCUACAAACAGGCCCCUGAGCGGAAAAACAGAAAGCACAUUUAGUUUAAUACGUUUUCUCAGCGGAGAAAACGUAUUUAUAGCCGUAGUUAAGCAGAAAUACGCUUUCCCAGAAGUAAAAAGUACUUCUGACCGAACUAAGACCAAAAUAAGCUUUCCCUUAAUGAAAAUGUAUUUCAGCAAAUAUGUUUCCACUUAUCCAGCUAGGCAAACGCGGGGCCGGCUAGGGUGACGCUGAUGUGCGGGUCCCACGCGGGUGGGGCCCGUCACUUAUCCACGCUGGACCGGGCGGGGUCAAUGUCGUGCGGCUGACUGGUGGGGCCCGCGGGGAGAGGCGGGGCCCGCCUGGCCAGCUGGACGGGGGUCUUCGUCUUCCUCUCGCCUCCCCGACAGAACAUGGGAGAGGCAGGGGAGGGCACAGCGCCGGCGAUGGGCCGGCCGGCUCCGGCCACUUCCGGUCGAGACGAGGCCAGCGGACGGCGCGGGACGGAGUGCCGCUCCCGCCUGGAGCAGCAGUGGCGCCGGAGAGGGAGCGGGGCCACAGCGACGGGAGGAGGCAGGGACGGAAGGCGGCGGCCGUUCUCGAGGGACACGGCCCUGGAGGGGCUCCGGCAAGAAUGGCGGUGAG
rnacentral:lncRNA from 1 species